AUACGGAGGGGGCUAGCGUUGUUCGGAAUUACUGGGCGUAAAGCGCGCGUAGGCGGAUUGAUCAGUCAGGGGUGAAAUCCCGAGGCUUAACCUCGGAACUGCCUUUGAUACUGUCAAUCUUGAGUUCAAGAGAGGUGAGUGGAAUUCCUAGUGUAGAGGUGAAAUUCGUAGAUAUUAGGAAGAACACCAGUGGCGAAGGCGGCUCACUGGCUCGAUACUGACGCUGAGGUGCGAAAGCGUGGGGAGCAAACAGGAUUAGAUACCCGAGUAGUCC
rnacentral:rRNA from 1 species